rnacentral:pre_miRNA from 1 species
AAUAUACUUCCUCCGUCCGGAAAUACUUGUCGGAGAAAUACAUAAAAAUGGAUGUAUCUAGAACUAAAAUACGUCUAGAUACAUCCAUUCCUUCGACAAAUAUUUUCGGACGGAGGGAGUACAAG